GACGAACGCUGGCGGCGUGCUUAACACAUGCAAGUCGAACGGAAAGGCCCUGCUUUUGUGGGGUGCUCGAGUGGCGAACGGGUGAGUAACACGUGAGUAACCUUCCCUUGACUUUGGGAUAACUUCAGGAAACUGGGGCUAAUACCGGAUAGGAGCUCCUGCUGCAUGGUGGGGGUUGGAAAGUUUCGGCGGUUGGGGAUGGACUCGCGGCUUAUCAGCUUGUUGGUGGGGUAGUGGCUUACCAAGGCUUUGACGGGUAGCCGGCCUGAGAGGGUGACCGGCCACAUUGGGACUGAGAUACGGCCCAGACUCCUACGGGAGGCAGCAGUGGGGAAUAUUGCACAAUGGGCGGAAGCCUGAUGCAGCAACGCCGCGUGCGGGAUGACGGCCUUCGGGUUGUAAACCGCUUUCGCCUGUGACGAAGCGUGAGUGACGGUAAUGGGUAAAGAAGAACCGGCUAACUACGUG
rnacentral:rRNA from 1 species